rnacentral:lncRNA from 1 species
GUUGGUUUUAAUCUGAUUUUUUCUGGACAAAAAAAUGAUAGAAAAUAUACAAAUAUCGAAUUGAAAGGAAGGGAAAGUUCAUGUUCAUAUGUUUGUGUAUUGUUAACAAAUACUUAUAUUUGAAGCAUCUUUAACUAAGCUGACUCUCCUAAUUCGUUGAGAAUAGCAUUGACAACUCUUAUUGAUAUACAGAGGGCUUCCCCAUGUU